rnacentral:rRNA from 1 species
AAAGGCGUAGGUGAUGGACAACAGGUUGAUAUUCCUGUACUACCGAUAACCGUUUGAGAGAUGGGAUGACACAGUAGGAUAAGCUAAGCACACUGUUGGUUAUGUGUGCCCAAGCAUUGAGGCAGUCAAAGUAGGCAAAUCCGCUUUGAUAAUGCUGGGAUGUGAUGGGGAGCGAAAUUUAGUAGCGAAGUAGCUGAUUUCACACUGUCAAGAAAAGUCUCUAUCGAGGUUAAAGGUACCCGUACCGCAAACCGA